UUAAGCGACUAAGCGUACACGGUGGAUGCCCUGGCAGUCAGAGGCGAUGAAGGACGUGCUAAUCUGCGAUAAGCGUCGGUAAGGUGAUAUGAACCGUUAUAACCGGCGAUUUCCGAAUGGGGAAACCCAGUGUGAUUCGUCACACUAUCAUUAACUGAAUCCAUAGGUUAAUGAGGCGAACCGGGGGAACUGAAACAUCUAAGUACCCCGAGGAAAAGAAAUCAACCGAGAUUCCCCCAGUAGCGGCGAGCGAACGGGGAGCAGCCCAGAGCCUGAAUCAGUGUGUGUGUUAGUGGAAGCGUCUGGAAAGGCGCGCGAUACAGGGUGACAGCCCCGUACACAAAAAUGCACAUACUGUGAGCUCGAUGAGUAGGGCGGGACACGUGGUAUCCUGUCUGAAUAUGGGGGGACCAUCCUCCAAGGCUAAAUACUCCUGACUGACCGAUAGUGAACCAGUACCGUGAGGGAAAGGCGAAAAGAACCCCGGCGAGGGGAGUGAAAAAGAACCUGAAACCGUGUACGUACAAGCAGUGGGAGCCUCUUUAUGGGGUGACUGCGUACCUUUUGUAUAAUGGGUCAGCGACUUAUAUUCUGUAGCAAGGUUAACCGAAUAGGGGAGCCGAAGGGAAACCGAGUCUUAACUGGGCGUUAAGUUGCAGGGUAUAGACCCGAAACCCGGUGAUCUAGCCAUGGGCAGGUUGAAGGUUGGGUAACACUAACUGGAGGACCGAACCGACUAAUGUUGAAAAAUUAGCGGAUGACUUGUGGCUGGGGGUGAAAGGCCAAUCAAACCGGGAGAUAGCUGGUUCUCCCCGAAAGCUAUUUAGGUAGCGCCUCGUGAAUUCAUCUCCGGGGGUAGAGCACUGUUUCGGCAAGGGGGUCAUCCCGACUUACCAACCCGAUGCAAACUGCGAAUACCGGAGAAUGUUAUCACGGGAGACACACGGCGGGUGCUAACGUCCGUCGUGAAGAGGGAAACAACCCAGACCGCCAGCUAAGGUCCCAAAGUCAUGGUUAAGUGGGAAACGAUGUGGGAAGGCCCAGACAGCCAGGAUGUUGGCUUAGAAGCAGCCAUCAUUUAAAGAAAGCGUAAUAGCUCACUGGUCGAGUCGGCCUGCGCGGAAGAUGUAACGGGGCUAAACCAUGCACCGAAGCUGCGGCAGCGACACUAUGUGUUGUUGGGUAGGGGAGCGUUCUGUAAGCCUGCGAAGGUGUACUGUGAGGUAUGCUGGAGGUAUCAGAAGUGCGAAUGCUGACAUAAGUAACGAUAAAGCGGGUGAAAAGCCCGCUCGCCGGAAGACCAAGGGUUCCUGUCCAACGUUAAUCGGGGCAGGGUGAGUCGACCCCUAAGGCGAGGCCGAAAGGCGUAGUCGAUGGGAAACAGGUUAAUAUUCCUGUACUUGGUGUUACUGCGAAGGGGGGACGGAGAAGGCUAUGUUGGCCGGGCGACGGUUGUCCCGGUUUAAGCGUGUAGGCUGGUUUUCCAGGCAAAUCCGGAAAAUCAAGGCUGAGGCGUGAUGACGAGGCACUACGGUGCUGAAGCAACAAAUGCCCUGCUUCCAGGAAAAGCCUCUAAGCAUCAGGUAACAUCAAAUCGUACCCCAAACCGACACAGGUGGUCAGGUAGAGAAUACCAAGGCGCUUGAGAGAACUCGGGUGAAGGAACUAGGCAAAAUGGUGCCGUAACUUCGGGAGAAGGCACGCUGAUACGUAGGUGAAGUCCCUUGCGGAUGGAGCUGAAAUCAGUCGAAGAUACCAGCUGGCUGCAACUGUUUAUUAAAAACACAGCACUGUGCAAACACGAAAGUGGACGUAUACGGUGUGACGCCUGCCCGGUGCCGGAAGGUUAAUUGAUGGGGUUAGCGGUAACGCGAAGCUCUUGAUCGAAGCCCCGGUAAACGGCGGCCGUAACUAUAACGGUCCUAAGGUAGCGAAAUUCCUUGUCGGGU
rnacentral:rRNA from 1 species